rnacentral:rRNA from 1 species
GCCUAACACAUGCAAGUCGAACGAGAAUCGACGGAUUGAGACUUCGGUUGAUUGAAGUUGAGGAAAGUGGCGAACGGGUGAGUAACGCGUGAGAAACCUGCCUUUCAGUGGGGGACAACAGUUGGAAACGACUGCUAAUACCGCAUAAUGUAUUCGGGGGGCAUCCUCUGAAUACCAAAGCUUUAUGUGCUGAAAGAUGGUCUCGCGUCUGAUUAGCUUGUUGGCGGGGUAACGGCCCACCAAGGCGACGAUCAGGAGCCGGUCUGAGAGGAUGAACGGCCACAUUGGGACUGAGAUACGGCCCAGACUCCUACGGGAGGCAGCAGUGGGGAAUAUUGGGCAAUGGGGGAAACCCUGACCCAGCAACGCCGCGUGAAGGAAGAAGGCUUUCGGGUUGUAAACUUCUUUUAGCAGGGACGAAGGACGUGACGGUACCUGCAGAAAAAGCAACGGCUAACUACGUGCCAGCCGCCGCCGUAAAAC